UAGUAAGCCAUGGAGUUGGAGAACCUGGGAGAGGCAGCAGAGCAGGCUGCUUGGGAAGGUCCCAGCACACGGGUGCGCCGCUCCAACCUCAACUACGAGAACAGACUCUUCCCCUGAACAUCUCCCGGGCCAAGUGUGAAUGACAAUCUCCCCAUUAUACAGUCGGAUGGUCUGAUGGACAAAGCGGCUGACGUUUUUUAUCCCGGGCCGCACAGCCAUUCAAUGGUUAACACCUUUGCUGCACGGCCUCUUCCCGCUCUGCUUACUCCCAGCCUCUUCACCUGGAUGGUGGGUUCUGCACAGCUCGCUGGGACUUGCCGUGGAGGAGGAGCCAUCGGGAUGACUCUGGCAGCCACCUGACACCAGGAGGAGGACGGAGAGUGACCAGGGCUGAGUGGGACUCACUCUUCCCCAAACGCAAACACGGCUUCAUUCACCUUCUUUCAGGCCUUAAGGGAGGUGAAAUGCCCUGCCGGCCGCAGCGUCAGGACUUCACAACACAUCACACAGGGACGCACUGAGGCCGCUCAGAGACUGCUGGGGGCUGGGGGCCGGGACAGGUCGGUUUUAAAUCUGGGUCUGACCCAGUGUCUGGCCUUGAGUAAGUCAUGGACCCCCCUUGGCGGUGCCUCAGGUCCCCUCCUACAAAAUGCCGGGAGGUGGUCGUGAGACACAAAGGAGUUGAAAAGGCAAAAGCACUCAGAUUGUUCUGGAACCCAGGCCAAGGUCGGGGAUUUGUCCGGAGCUUCCCCACAGCCGUGCACAUACUCGGGAGCCCGAGGUCCCACAGCUCCGCCCUCUUCGCAUCACCCACCACCACACCCAGCAGGUCCCAGUCACUGCACACCCCAGGCCGCCAGAGGGACAGGUCGGCCACACAGGGGCACCCUCCCCCACACCCCACCCCACCCACUCUGCUCAGGACGUACCAGGAAU